GUUGAACGCUGGCGGCAGGCUUAACACAUGCAAGUCGAGCGGAGAGAGGUAGCUUGCUACUGAUCUUAGCGGCGGACGGGUGAGUAAUGCUUAGGAAUCUGCCUAUUAGUGGGGGACAACAUUUCGAAAGGAAUGCUAAUACCGCAUACGUCCUACGGGAGAAAGCAGGGGAUCUUCGGACCUUGCGCUAAUAGAUGAGCCUAAGUCGGAUUAGCUAGUUGGUGGGGUAAAGGCCUACCAAGGCGACGAUCUGUAGCGGGUCUGAGAGGAUGAGCAGCAACACUGGGACUGAGACACGGCCCAGACUCCUACGGGAGGCAGCAGUGGGGAAUAUUGGACAAUGGGCGCAAGCCUGAUCCAGCCAUGCCGCGUGUGUGAAGAAGGCCUUAUGGUUGUAAAGCACUUUAAGCGAGGAGGAGGCUACUUUAGUUAAUACCUAGAGAUAGUGGACGUUACCCGCAGAAUAAGCACCGGCUAACUCUGUGCCAGCAGCCGCAGUAACAC
rnacentral:rRNA from 1 species